AUUGAACGCUGGCGGCAGGCCUAACACAUGCAAGUCGAACGAGCGGCGGACGGGUGAGUAAUGUCUGGGAAAUUGCCUGAUGGAGGGGGAUAACUACUGGAAACGGUAGCUAAUACCGCAUACCAUCAGAUGUGCCAAGAUGGGAUUAGCUAGUAGGUGGGGUAAUGGCUCACCUAGGCGACGAUCCCUAGCUGGUCUGAGCGGAUGACCAGCCACACUGGAACUGAGACACGGUCCAGACUCCGACGGGAGGCAGCAGUGGGGAAUAUUGCACAAUGGGCGCAAGCCUGAGGCAGCCAUGCCGCGUGGGUGAAGAAGGCCUUCGGGUUGUAAAGCACUUUCAGCGAGGAGGCUUUACUCGCAGAAGAAGCACCGGCUAACUCCGUGCCAGCAGCCGCGGUAAUAC
rnacentral:rRNA from 1 species